ACAAACCUACCAUAAACCUCUCACUCCCUCCGAUUCCCAAAUCCCAAAUGCCAAACCCAAACCCAAACCCCAAUUUCCGAAAUCAAGAUCUCUCUCUCCCUCCGAUUCCCAAAUCCCAACUGGGAAGAAGAUCAAGGUCUGAUAUCGGCAAAUCCGUCAUAAUUUUUGGUGGUUAUAAUGGAUUUGGACCAGAACGAGAACCGACUUUGAUGGAGGAUGGAGAAAAGUUUAAAUGGUAUUCUAUUCCAGUCCCUGAUGAUGAGGCAGAGGCAGAGGCAGAGGCAGAAAAAAAGCUGAGUCCGUUUUCCGUAGUGGAGCUUCCCCAACUGCAUUCCUUUGUAGCUCUAAAAUCAUCUAUAUAUUGUCUUAGCAACUAUACUACAGAGACGUGGAUUUUCGAUGGUUGUUGGAAGCUUGGUCCUCAAAUGAAUGUUCGUAGAUUUGCUCCUCACACCAUUGUCCUGAGCGGUAAGCUGUAUGUUUUAGGUGGUUUAUAUGAGGAUGCGAGAGAGGAAUACAUUUGGAUGGAGGUUCUUAACCCGAAACGCAGAGCCUGGAGACCAUUGCCCAAUCCUCCAUUACGGAUUAGUUCCUUUGGCAUGGUUUCUGUUGCUUUAGAGCGCACUAAACAAAUUAUUGUGAGUGCAUUCCUUAGGGGCGACUCCAAGUUCCGCCUUUGUUAUUCUUAUGAUAGUUGUGUGGUUUACAUAUAUAAUGUCCGUACUUGUUGUUGGACAGAACUUGAGCCUCCGACCAUCAAUCUACGUUGUGGGUCUCCAAUUACGCGCUCUAAUAGAGCUGUAGUAGGUGCGGAUGAUACCCUCUACUGGGCUUCGCUCAAUGAGGAUGAUAUGCUUUUAGUUGUCCAUGCUUACUGUCUAUAUAAAAAUGAGUGGUUCGAGGGCUUUAUCAGCCCUACGAGAAUCAUUGGGAUGAAAGAGGUUAUAAGUUAUAUGAAUGAUCCAACUCCUUUCCACUUAGGCGGUACCAAAUUCUGCCUUCUAUUUCAAUCCUACAUCCCUCAUCCGUGGAAACCAGGAAUGCGGAUAUCUGAAAUGAAGAAUGAUUGGUAUCUCCAUUCGGUUGUAUUUGAUUUUUCUCUAGAAUCAGAUCCGGAGGAGGAUUUCGGGGACCUGCAUAUUUCAGUCGUUUCAACCCAGACAUAUCGUCUGGAUCACAGCGUACGUCUCAAUGAUGCUGUGUUGAUGGAUGGUGGUGCCUUCAAUCGCACCUUGCAGAAGAAACCAAAGUUAUGUGCAGAUUAGUGUGGGUCACUUCCUUCAAGGUAGUAUCAACAGAGUUGGCUAACCGCACCCUGGCGCAUGAACUAUUUUUCCGUGAAAUUCUUAUGCUGGGACGUGCAGCAGACAAAGAGACCAUUACCCCAGUAAGAUGCUCAAGUAGAAUCAGAAACCAAUUCACUUGUCCACGAUGACCCAACUACAAGCUCUAUUUUAGUUUAUGAUUCUUCAUUGCAUAGCGAAGCAAUCAUAUUGUGAGUAAGCCAGUAAUUAGUUGCUUUGUUAGUUUGAUUGGUUGUAACACUUGUUAUUGAUACUAUUUAUCAAAAACACUUGUUAUUGAUACUGUACUGAUUAGUAGUUCUCUAGUUCACUAUUAAUUUCAGAUCCUUCUGAUUUUUAUUUCAA